rnacentral:pre_miRNA from 1 species
UUAAGCCAAUUUUGUAUGCAGUUGGAACAGCGCCCCUAGCGGCAAACGUAGGCAAACGUUCCAACUCCAUACAAAUUUGAGUUA